GGGUCCGUGAUGACUAGCCCACUGCGCAAUCUGAGCAGUGCCUCCCUUUUUGGAGUGCCCUGCUGGAGACAACUGUGCUGAUUAAAGCCUGAGACCC